rnacentral:rRNA from 1 species
CCUACGGGAGGCUGCAGUGGGGAAUAUUGGUCAAUGGGCGCAAGCCUGACCCAGCAACGCCGCGUGAAGGAAGAAGGCUUUCGGGUUGUAAACUUCUUUUCUGAGGGACGAAGAAAGUGACGGUUCCUCAGUCAUCAGCCACGGCUAACUACGUGCCAGCAGCCGCGGUAAUACGUAGGUGGCAAGCGUUAUCCGGAUUUAGUGGGUGGAAAGGGCGUGUAGGCGGGAAAGCAAGUCAGAUGUGAAAACUCAGGGCUCAACCCUGAGCCUGGAUUUGAAACUGUUUUUCUUGAGUGCUGGAGAGGCAAUCGGAAUUCCGUGUGUAGCGGUGAAAUGCGUAGAUAUACGGAGGAACACCAGUGGCGAAGGCGGAUUGCUGGACAGUAACUGACGCUGAGGAGCGAAAGCGUGGGUAGCAAACAGGAUUAGAUACCCCAGUAGUC